GUAAGGAAUAUUGGUCAAUGGACGCAAGUCUGAACCAGCCAUGCCGCGUGGAGGAUGAAGGUCCUCUGGAUUGUAAACUUCUUUUAUCUGGGACGAAAAAGGGUCUUUCUAGAUCAACUGACGGUACCAGAUGAAUAAGCACCGGCUAACUCCGUGCCAGCAGCCGCGGUAAUACGGAGGGUGCAAGCGUUAUCCGGAUUCACUGGGUUUAAAGGGUGCGUAGGUGGGUUGGUAAGUCAGUGGUGAAAUCCCCGAGCUUAACUUGGGAACUGCCAUUGAUACUAUCAGUCUUGAAUAUUGUGGAGGUUAGCGGAAUAUGUCAUGUAGCGGUGAAAUGCUUAGAUAUGACAUAGAACACCAAUUGCGAAGGCAGCUGGCUACGCAUAUAUUGACACUGAGGCACGAAAGCGUGGGGAUCAAACAGGAUUAGAAACCCGAGUAGUCC
rnacentral:rRNA from 1 species